UCAGUUACCUAAAUGGCAUGAAUAAUAUUUCCAAUAUAUAAAUUAAUAUGGUUAUUUCAUUUGUUUAUGGUGAGCAUGGUUUUCAUGGUGCGCAGUAUAUUUUUGUGUUGUAUUGGGGUGGAAUCUUCUAUUCUACUUCCUGGGGGACAUAAUUCAGGGACGUACAGGAAAGGGAUAUCUUGAAAAACAGCGGUAAUCCAGUUUUCGCCUACCAGGACCAAAGAAGGCUUAAGCUUUAUGCGUGAGAUGUAUUUGAUGAAUAUUGCAAGAGAAGAAUGUAACGCGGGUCAUUUAACGUUUGAAUGGACCCCGGUUGUGGAAUAUUGUUCUUGAAGAAAUGUUAUGAAGAGUGAUGAACCUUUGUGUGCAACGAACCUAGCUCCUUUUGGUAACAAGCUGCCAGCGAGUUUUCACGGGACGAAGCUGAAUAAAGAACGCCCUGUAGUUUAAAAGAAAACUCCGUUUCCUCGUGUUACUGUGGGAGCUACAGUGAAAACUCGAUGUCAAGACCCAAGGCGUGUGGAGAAGCAAGCGGCAAGUCAUCGCCAUCGCAUCGCCUUCCUCAGCGCUUCUUCUGAGAUGAGACGCACGAGAGCUACUUUGCAGUCCGCAGUACGGUGCAGGUGCCAUUGUUUUGCUAGCGUAGGCUCAACAUUUUGAACGGACAUUUCAGAGACUUCGGUGACCGUGUUCAUAUCUAGGUCAAUCUAUGUUUUCUUUGUUGGCUAAUAACUCUUGGUUUGAUGAUGGUCCAUUUAGGCUUAGGCAAGUUCAAUACCAUAAUGGCAGGUUGUAGCCAUUAUGCAUGAUCAUAUGCAUGUGUGUGACUAACAUAACAGUUAUUUCAAAUGCUCUUUUAAAUAGAGAAUGUUUAUAGUUGAA